GGGUGGCGAGACUCGUUACUACUCCAGCCUGGACUUGAAGUCGGGCUACUGGCAAGUCCCGAUGGCGGACGAGGCUUCUAAGGAGCGUACGGCAUUUGCCACGCCCACAGCUCAGUAUCGAUAUGUACGAAUGCCCAUGGGUCUAAAGGGAGCAGCCGCCGUGUUCGCUACCCUGAUGCACAAGGUUCUGGGCCCACUACUAGAGGAUUCGCCUCCACCCCCUGCUUCAUUGGAUAGCCCACCGCGGGAACGGUGUGUAGUGGUUUAUCUGGAUGAUAUCCUUAUCUUCAGCCCAACACUACAAGAUCAUGUACGACAUCUUCAGCAAGUGUUCGACCUUCUCCGAAUGGCUGGUCUCAAGAUCGCAGCUAAGAAGUGCACGUUUGGCCAACAACGCGUGGUUUUCCUUGGUCAUCUACUUGACGGAGUACGUGGUGUCGUGGGACCUAACCCCACCAACGUCAUGAAAAUUGCAGAACUUCCGUCGCCAUCCAAUGUUCGCGAAGUACGAGCAUGGCUGGGAGCUGUUGGUUACUACCGGGAACUUAUCCCUGGCUUCGGCUUGAUUGCACAACCAUUGUAUGCGCUACUUAAGCAGGGGACACCCUGGUGCUGGGGUCCAAGAGAAGAAGACGCUUUUCAAGAGCUACGUAAUGCUUUGCUGGGGGAGCCUGUUCUCCGCGCACCUGGUUUCCGACGCCCGUUCUUGGUCCAAGUCGACUGGUGCCGCACUGCCGUCGCCGCGUGCCUGGCCCAGCAGGACAACAAAGGAUAUGAAUACGCCGUUCAGUUUGCUAGUAAGGCUAUGACUGGCCCACAGCUGAAUUACAGCGCGGCAGAUGGAGAGGCCUACGCUGCCUUAUGGGCAAUUAAACACUUUCACCCCUACUUGUACGGCACUCAUUUUGUACUCAUCACGGAUUCGAUGGCGGUUCGGUCUUUGCGGACUGCACGCGCUCGAGAUCUUCUGGGAAAGCUGGCUCGAUAUGCGCUCAAGCUUCAAGCCUACGACUUUUAAGUGAUGCAUAAGGCCGGACGCAAGAAUUCAAACGUGGAUGGUUUGAGCCGCUUGGGACAUCUGAUGGAGCCCCACCGUAAUUUGCCUACAGAGAUCGACCCCAGUCCGGACCCACUUGAGGAUGCCGCCAUCUUGGCAUGCUCAAUUGCAGCCGUCGCCUCCGAGGUUCAGAUCCUCAUAACUGAACAGGAAGAGGAGUGUAGCCGCGGCAUCAGACCGGAUGAGCCGUCCACAGUGGCUGUACACCAGCCUCCGGCUCUAUCGUUGCCUACACCAGAGCACAACCCCUUGCGUGAAGCAACCAGACCCCUGGUCCCGCUUGGCAAGCGACGCUUGGAUAGGUCAGCUCGUCUGACAUCUGGAGCACCAGAUGAGA
rnacentral:lncRNA from 1 species